UUGCUAAAGUAGAUAGGUGACUGUUUGUAUCUCCCUCUUGCCUUCUGCUCCCCCCAUUUUCAUGACAGUCUUCUCUGCCAGCGUCACCUGGCUUCAGUUAGAAAUACAGGAAUAAACAGGAAAAUUACUCACAGCAGACUGUUUGAGGGUCAUCCCAACUGUUGCCUACCUGAACCAAGAAUCAAAUCUUACAGUAGCACUGCGCUGUACUACUUGGUUGGAGAUCUACUGGUAUCCUAGUAUUGGAAAAGACCUAACAGGUCGUGAUUCCUGGGCAGAUGCUUAUUCCUAUCUCUGGCUGCUGACCCUUGGUUUGACUUUCUGGUUCCUGAAUUUUGGCCACGAACAUUCGGCUCCCUUCCCAGCUCUGGACACAGGCCCUAACCUUUGGGCUGAAUAGCCUGGGCUCCAGCCUGUAAUCCUAGAUGGCCACCAGGUCAUCUGUAGUAGACUGUACUCUAAUUUAUUUAGUCACAAAUGAACUCUAAGAGAUAAGUCUGGGUGUUGGUUUUGUUUUUUUUUUUUUUUUAAAUUAUGACAAGUGCAGCUAUUUAUUUGCAAACUGGUCUUUUAUCUGUAUUUUUCUAGAUUGCUAAAUGUGAACUUCUACUUUCCAUUAGUUAUCAUAUUGUUCUAAUGGCCAUCUUUUCUUUGGGGAGAAUAUAAUCAUAUCUCAGCCAGUGGAGCAAGUGAGCAGAACUGUUAGCAUUUAUAAAAAUUUCAAAUUGGUGGCUAUAAGUUGAAUAAAUUACAUCAGAAAAGGCAAUAGUGUCAGAACUUCCAUUUCAUUUCUAUAUGAAAUGUUAUGUUACUGAUAUACUGUAUCCAUGAUCUACUUAUGGGAGUUCAUAAUGUCAUUCCAACACACAUGACAUAAGAGUGUAAACAGACACUCAAAUAUGGUCAGUCCUGAAAGUGUGUCAUGACUGAAACUUGAUGAAAAUAUGAGUUAUGAAGUUCACAAAGUAUGAAGAUAAAUUUCCAGAAAGAGGAAGAACUGAAACUUAUAAUGUGUGUUAAAUGUUCAGGUGGAAGAAGGGUCAGAUUGCUUUGGAAGGAGAAUAAAUGGAGAAGGAGUACAAAGCUGAGUUGUAAAAUGAACUUAAUCAGUUACAAGUAAUAUGGAAUAGGCAAUAAUGUGAAGCUGAGUGAAAAGAAAACUGCUUUUAGAUAUCCUAUAUAUGUUACAUUGCUCAUACACAAAGAUGGUAUAGCAUAGACAUUUAUAUACACAUGCUCAACAGAAAAUAAAAGUCACAAGAUCUGGGUGAAUUUUAUUUCAUUUUGCCCAUCAGAAGUUCAGGAAUAAAAAGUUCCCUGUUGAUGCAAUGUUUUUGCUUUGUAAUAUUUUGAUGGUGCUGGGUAUCCAAAAUCACAGUAAUAAAUGAUCCAUCUGUCCUGUUCCUGUGUCAAAAUAUGUGACAGUUGUCAAUCUAGGAAAAGCAUGCUUCUUACUUUGAUGUAGCUUAAAGGCAAGUUAUAUUAUAGUCUGUUGUUCAUGGCUGUUUCAUAGAAAUGUGAAGCUUGCUUAAUUUUAGAGCUUAAAUCAAGGCACAUCAAUAUGGAAACAUUUAGAUUAACUUUUUUAUUAAAUUAUACAAACUUCCUUGCUAAACCCAUCUCCUUAUGCCCUUUGACAAGAGGAACUGUCAUUUACUAGAGGAGUUUUCCUCUAAAUACUUUUUUUUCCUCUGAAGCAGGCUAGCUCAGAUGAGGGAUAGCAAGUUGUUUGUGGAAUUUAGCUAAGAUGAGACUCUCCUUUGCUUUGUGUAAGUGAAGAGGAUGGUGGAAGCAGCAAGUUUAGUGUAUUGCUUUGGUGUGUUUCUUCCAAAUUGGUCACGUACCUUAAUAAGAUUUUACACACUUUUGUUAAAAUAUCAGUUCAGAGAAGGAAAUCUGGUGAAAUAAAACAAGUGCCUUCUUCAAUUAGUUGUCGUCCAGUUAAAAUUUGUUAGUAUAAAAAGCUACAGCAGAACAGCAGGGCAUAGCUUUUGUCUAAACUGAGAAUUUUUACUUCGUGUAAAGCUCUUUAAUGGAACUGCCCAUGAUUUCAUGUGACAUUCACCUUGCAUAAUGACAUCUUUUUUUUUCCCCCUCCAAAUGAAUUAAAAAUGGAAAGUACUUCCAGUACCUCUUGGUAGGUACCAAGAAGUCAGAUCCCUUGGUACCAUGGAGGUCCUUUCUUCAUUACAGGCAGGUAGUUUCCAUUAUUCAUGCGAGGUACCAUUUCAUUUAAAGUCCCAUCAUUACUUAAAAAGCAAGAUAUUAAUGAGAGAUGUUACUGGAGUGUGGUCUUUUAAUUUGAUAUUGUUCGAUCCAGCUGUUUUAAAAUUUCUAAGAAUAAAGCUUCCAUUACCUUAUAUUAGAGAAGAUUUUUAUAGGCAAGAACAUCUAAUUCUUGUCUAGUUUCCCUUGAUAGCCAAUUGCCUUUCCUAAAUCUUCACUAUUUACUUCUUGGUUAAUCCUUUUGCUUUGCUUUAAAUAAUUUCUCUGAUUCCUAGAUAUCCAUACAUUGCAGUUAGUUAUAUACAGAUAUUUUUCAUACCACCCCCAUCCACUUAGCUGGUGAGUAGCCAAGUAAUACAUACUUAGCACUUUUAAUUUUACCUCAUAAAUCAAUCAUUGUAGCUGCAAAAUCAGUUACAUUUUUUCUUAAACCAUCAUUCAAUACAAAGAGUCCAUUAUGCAUGUCUGUGAAUAAUAUAUUAAUUGUGUGGUUUAAAAUCAUAAACAACAUUACACAAUUAACUACAUAAAAUUGCUCACUUUGAAAACUGUAUAACUACAAUUUCUAUAAUAGUAGCUAAAAGACGACAGCAUUAAGCCGGGCAUUGUCACUCUGAAUUGCCACUGGUAAAGCAGAGGCCUCUUAAAUGUGCAAUUAUGAUAAAGGGAAAGCGUAUUCCUUGUUUCAGAUUUAUUGCUUUAAGUACUUUUCCAAAGGUUUUCACCUUAUUUUGUAUUGCUGUGCACUAAUGGUGUGAGACAAGAUUACUUCGGUGAAUGGCUUUAUUAAUGUAAAGAAAUAUUACUAAAGUUUUUUUUAUAACUGGAUUUAAACAUCUUUUUCA